rnacentral:rRNA from 1 species
GAUGAACGCUGGCGGCGUGCCUAAUACAUGCAAGUCGAGCGAACAGAUGAGGAGCUUGCUCCUCUGACGUUAGCGGCGGACGGGUGAGUAACACGUGGAUAACCUACCUAUAAGACUGGGAUAACUUCGGGAAACCGGAGCUAAUACCGGAUAAUAUAUUGAACCGCAUGGUUCAAUAGUGAAAGACGGUUUUGCUGUCACUUAUAGAUGGAUCCGCGCCGCAUUAGCUAGUUGGUAAGGUAACGGCUUACCAAGGCAACGAUGCGUAGCCGACCUGAGAGGGUGAUCGGCCAACCUGGGACUGGGGCAAGGUCCCAACUCCUACGGGAGGGCAGAGGAGGGAAUCUUCCGGAAUGGGCGGAAGGCUUACGGAGCAACGGCGGGUGAGUGAAUAAGGUCUUCCGAUUGUAAAACUCUGUUAAUUGGGAAAAACAAAAGGGGAAAUUACUAAGCAACGCUUGACGGGAACUAAACAAGAAGCCACGGCUUACUUAGUG